GCACUGUUGAGGAGUCCCAUAAUAGGAUUAAACGGCUGUCCAGUGC
rfam:Schistosoma mansoni, Puerto Rico, WGS project CABG01000000 data, contig: 0132